CUCAUCGAUGCUCCAUCUCAGUAGGUGGAGGAAAUCCACUAUAACCGCCUCUAAGUUAAUAGAAGAAUUUAUUUAUUACACGUUUAGUUUAAUUAAAAAAAAAAAAAAAAGGGAAAUUCAUCACAAGCUUUCAAGAUAUUAAUAGAAUUUGUAAAGGUCACAAAAUGAAUUCUGCUUCUUUAUAACCUAUAUUACACUCAUCGAUGCUCCAUCUCAGUAGGUGGAGGAAAUCCACUAUAACCGCCUCUAAGUUAAUAGAAGAAUUUAUUUAUUUUAUGUUUACUUGUUUAAAUAACUUGUUUCACGUGUUGUAAUCUAGUCAUAUAGACUAGGUGUCCAUUUCUGACCCUAGAACACAAAACCGGUCAUAAGGGUCAGUUCGGUUUUGUGAAACUGAGAUGAAUACAUCAUCUGAAGCUGAAUAAAUGAGCUUUCCAUUGAUGUGUGGUUUGUUAGGAGGACAAUAUUUGGCUGAGAUACAACUUUUGAAAUUUGAAAAUCUGGAAUCUGAGGGUGUAAAAAAUCUAAAUAUUGAGAAAAUCAUCUAAGUUGUUCAAAUGAAAAUGAUAAAGUACAUAUAUAAAAAAAAUUAAGUUUUGAUAUAUUUAUGGUAGGAAAUUUACAAAAUAUCUUCAUGGAACAUGACCUUUAGUUAAUAUCCUAAUGAUUUUUGGCAUAAAAGAAAAAUCUGUAUUUUUGACCCGAACAAUAUAUUGUUGGCUAUUGCUACAAAUAUACCCCAGCGACUUAAGACUGGUUUGGUGUCACACAUAUGGACAAAUUUGAGUGCAUAUAUUUCCUAAUUGAUCUCUCCCAAAUCUCUGUCUCAGAUAACCGGGAGGACCCAGUGCCGCUUGAGAAACAGUCUUCCAGGAUAAGUUUAAAAGGACGGCGAAAGAGCCGACAGACCUUUCUGGCUGAGCAGAGACACAAGCAGAGUCUGGACUGUAGUGCUGCAAACAGGGACGUGAAUGUCGGACUCCCAUCUGAGAAUCACACGUUUUACCAAGCUGCGCCUCCAUUUGAUUCAGCCUGUGGAGGUCCUGUAGAGAUGUCUGGACUGGACACAGCAAUCAGCCCUUUAGCUGCCAUGGAGCCUCCUGUAUUUCCAAACGCACCAGUACAGAGCACAUCUGUCGUCGCGGAGGACCAGCAGAAUAUACUACUUGAGGUCCUGAACCAUUGUAGGUUCCUGCAUGCAGCAGUGCAGAGGCUUGAACAGAAGAUUGACAGACAGAUGUCAAAUGAGCCAUUAUAUGAAAGAAGCUCAGCGACGCUGAAGAAUGGUCCAAAGGUUUGUCCAUAA
rnacentral:lncRNA from 1 species